UACGUAGGGGGCGAGCGUUGUCCGGAUUUAUUGGGCGUAAAGAGCUCGUAGGCGGUUCGGUUAGUCGGAUGUGAAAUCUCCACGCUCAACGUGGAGGCGCCAUCCGAUACUGCCGUGACUCGAGUCCGGUAGGGGAGUGUGGAAUUCCCGGUGUAGCGGUGAAAUGCGCAGAGAUCGGGAGGAACACCUGUGGCGAAAGCGGCGCACUGGACCAUAACUGACGCUGAGGCGCGAAAGCUAGGGGAGCAAACAG
rnacentral:rRNA from 1 species